rnacentral:sRNA from 1 species
AUCUAAACCUGAUGGCAGCGAUCCCGAUUUUUCAUCGGGACAAGCGUACAGCAGGACUAAUA